CAGCACUGCGCAUGCGUUAAACGCUCCAGUGCAGCUACGCGGUAAAUUCGAAUCAUAGACCAAUAACCCCUAGCUUUGUACUUUUCACAUUGUUCCUGUUUAACAAGCACCCAACUAGAUGCAUUAGUAUCAAGAAAGUGACCCAAAUAAGCUUGCUUUUCAAACUUAAUUUCACCAUGCAUUUCUGCUCUCUUAAACUCAACAUGAAAUUCCAGCUAGCUAAAAGAAGACCUGGGAGAAACACACCUAGCAAGCUCGUGCUAAGGACAGAGGCAGAGGGAAACAUGGUGAACUAUCCAGUGUGAUGCAGCCAGAAAUGAAGCUCCAAGCCGGCUGAGGUAAACCAGGCAUGAAGAGGCAGUUAUGCAUCACUACAGUCCUCGAAGGAGAGAGGUGUACUCCAGCAGGUGUUUUUCAUCAUCAGGGUACUCUUCAAAUUGGCAGACAUCGCUUUGGGCCUUCGAAACAUUUCCAUUUCAGGACCUGAAAGAAAAGAUUGACGUCACCUGAGGACCCAAAUGUAGGAAACUACAUGAAUUGCCAAAACGUCUUUAUACACAAACUAAUGAUAUUCAAAACAACACAUUAAGAAUAUGAAAUGAGAAAUGUAGUCAAAGUUGCAUGUACAACACUACCACAUCAAUGAACAGAGGGCCCCUCAAGCUACUGAGGGAUGGCUGCAGAAAGGGUGCAGUAAAAACAAAGAUGACUCUCCUGCAUUAUCGCUCAGCAGUAAGAUUACUCAGACUGAAUUACAGCGUUGCACUGGUUCUUUCUUUUCUCACCACCUCAAAAGGAUGUAGAUGUACGUGUUUUGUUUUUAACACAACCUUGGUUUGACACUUUGAAAUGAGCAUGUGCUCUUUCUCUCGUUCUCACCCCUUUCUCCGCUCUAAUGAGAGGUAUGUGGCUGGUUGAAGAUCUAUUCUAAACUUGGUUUUUGAAAGUGCUAAUCUGAGGUCAUGCUGAGAAUUGAGUCUGUUUUUGUAACUGAAUAAAAAUGGUGGAUAAAC